rnacentral:lncRNA from 1 species
AAAAAAGAGACAAGCCAACUAACUGACUGAUUCCAACACAACACAACAUAUAGAAACAAGACAGAUCACAACACAGAGAAGCCACAUGCAUCAGUGGCAUGCAUCAUUACUAGUAUACAUUAACCGCACAAACUAAUUGAAGCCGCAAACACGUCGGAGCCAGGAUCGAUCGUCACCUAAACAACAUGCAUGAAUGCAUGCAUGAAGAUGAAGAGGAAAAACCGAUGGAGCUACUUUAUUUCUGGUCAUCCUAAGCUCAGCAGUCCCGCUCGCAGUAGCACUUGCGCUCGACGUGGUGCUGGUGGCACUGCCCGCGGGGGAAGUUCUCGGUGUGGCACACGCUGGCGCAGUUGGUGUCGCUGAAGCAGGCGCCCUUGAAAUUGUGGCUCUGCGACUCGCACGUCCGGGCCUCCGCCACCUUCACCGUCCCCAUCUCUGCAAUGCAACCACCACAAAAAGUAAUUAAGCGCCUAUGAUUAAUUACAGUUUACAGCAGCUCGAUCGGUGGGAGGGAGGAAGCUUGCCGGACGUACCCGUGGCGACGAGGAGGAGCAGGACGAGGAGGACGGCAGGCGCGGUGGCCAUGCGGCGAGGGGACGCCAUCUCUCUUCUGCACUUGCUCUCUUUGAGUGUCAAAUCAAAGCUCUCUACUGCUGCUGCUGAUGAGGGGAGCUACCAUCUUGUUAUAAGCGAGAUAUAGAUAUAGCUCGGGCGUCCCUUGUGAGCUUCUCAAGCCCUAGCCAGAAAGCCCUAAAAAUAUCCCUGACUAGAAUGGAAAAAGUCCAUGUCCAUAGUUCAUAGUCUUCAUCUCUAUCUUUAUAUCUUUAUAUCUAUAUCUAUCUAUACUAUAUCUAUAUCUAUAUGUAUCUAUCUAUAUUAUAUUUAUAUCUAUAUCUAGCUAUUUUUUUAAAUAAUACAUUUUUAAUUAAUUUUCAUAAAUAUUAUGCUGGAUAAAAAAAUUCAAAAAUAAUACAGCGUCGGCCCGCUGCAGGCCGACUGGGCCUAGUCGGCCCACAGCAGGCCGAUUGGAGUCCAGUCGGCCUACAGCUGGCCGACUGGCCCCUGUCGGCCCACUGUGGGCUGAUUGCGUCCUGUCGGCCCACUGUGGGCCGACUGAUUUCAAAAAGUGUUAAGCAUGGAUUUAAAAAUUGUUAAAUGUGUGUAUAAAAAAUGUUCCUUAUUUAUACAAAAAAUAUAUAAUGUGUAUGAAAAAAAGUUGACACCAAACAAAUAUGUUUGAAAAAUAUGUUUGAAAAGUUGACAUUUUUUCAAAUACAUGAUUAAAAAUUGUUAAAUGUGUGUAUAAAAAUGUUUCUUAUCUAUACAAAAAAUAUAGAAUUUGUAUGAAGAAAAGUUGACACCAAAAAAAUAUGUUUGAAAAAAUGUUCCAGUUCCAUACAAAAAGAGCAACCAAUCAUACUUAGGUCCGUGAUGCUCCCAUACCGGAUCCGGAGCUUUCACAUUUUUUAUACACGUUUAACCUUUCAUUCCGAUACAUGAAACAUUUUUGUGUACCCGUUGAACAUUUUUUCAAAUACAUGAUUAACAUUUUUUUCAAAUAUAUUUUUUUGGUGUCAACUUUUUUCAUGCACAUUCUAUAUUUUUUGUAUAGAUAAGGAACAUUUUUUCAAGUACACGAUUAACAUUUUUUUUAAACAUAUUUUUUUGGUGUCAACUUUUUUUCAUACACAUUCUAUAUUCUUUGCAUAAAUAAGGAACAUUUUUAUACAUACAUUUAACAAUUUUUAAAUACGUGAUUAACACUUUUUGAAACAUAUUUUUUAGUCAACUUUUUUGCAUAUAUAUUGUACAUUUUUUGUAUACAUCAGGAACAUUUUUUUAUACACGUUUAACAUUUUUUAAUUACAUGACUAACAUUUUUUAAAGCAUAUAUUUUUUAUGCCUACUUUUUUUGCAAAAACAAAUAGCCCACAGCGAGCCAAUUAGCUCCAGUCGGCCCACAGUGGGCCGACAGGACCCAAUCAGCCCACAGUGGGCCGACAGGGGCCAGUCGGCCAGCUGUAGGCCGACUGGAAUCCAAUCGGCCUGCUGUGGGCCGACUAGGCCCAGUCGGCCUGCAGCGGGCCGACGGUGUAUUAUUUUUAAAAAAAAUUUACCCAGCGUAAUAUUUAUGAAAAUUAAUAAAGAAAUGUAUUAUUUAAAAAAAUUAGCCCUAUAUCUACCUAUCUAAAUCUAAAGGUUUCAUGUUUCACUUUUCUUUUCCUGACCCCUUCGUCUAACCUUCCCGUACGAUAAUUAAUCAUUUUAAUUUACUUAUCUUCUAAAUCAAUUUAACUUUAGUUUACUUAGAAAACUUCUUAUCAAAAUAAGGUAAAUCACAAAAAAGAUUUGAUAAACAUUUAUUACAUAAUUGUACUAACAUAUGUAGGUAAAUCACAAUUUAACGUAAUAGAUUAUUUAUACCCCAAAAAUUUAUUUACACAAUUGUAUUAAUGGCCUCCCCUAAGAAAACAGUUGUAUUAUAGACAGGUAAAUCACGAUCUGACAUAAUAGAUUAUUUAUACCCGUUGUAACCUACUGGCAAUAUUUAUACUUCCGGUUAUCAUUUAGUCGGACUCAUCGAAAGCACUAUCUUGCUUGUCUGGAGCGUUCUGCGUAUGGCCCUUUGGUUCGGGAGAUCAAAGAGGUAAUGUGCAUUAGGGAAUUUUAUCCUCAGGAAAUUCUUUGUAGAUCAAAGAGUUAAAUGUGCAGUAGAGUUUUAUCCUUAGAAAAUUCUUUUAGUUGUAGAUCGGCUGGCCAAUUAUAGCCGAGAGCACAACUGUUGUGUGGUUGGUCUUGGCUCCAUGUUGUAUUCAGGAUUUGUGGUCUCUUGACUGUAAUACUAUUACAUAGAAAUAUAACUCNNNNNNNNNNNNNNNNNNNNNNNNNNNNNNNNNNNNNNNNNNNNNNNNNNNNNNNNNNNNNNNNNNNNNNNNNNNNNNNNNNNNNNNNNNNNNNNNNNNNNNNNNNNNNNNNNNNNNNNNNNNNNNNNNNNNNNNNNNNNNNNNNNNNNNNNNNNNNNNNNNNNNNNNNNNNNNNNNNNNNNNNNNNNNNNNNNNNNNNNNNNNNNNNNNNNNNNNNNNNNNNNNNNNNNNNNNNNNNNNNNNNNNNNNNNNNNNNNNNNNNNNNNNNNNNNNNNNNNNNNNNNNNNNNNNNNNNNNNNNNNNNNNNNNNNNNNNNNNNNNNNNNNNNNNNNNNNNNNNNNNNNNNNNNNNNNNNNNNNNNNNNNNNNNNNNNNNNCUCUAGCCCCCGACACUAGUAUUUCUUAAGAAACAUCUCGUUUUCUUUCCCUUUUCAUUUCCAAAACUAAGAACACGUGAAGAUGAAACAAAUACUACAAUUAUAUAAGGUAUAGUCCUAAACUCCGAACAUCUAUAGAGAUACUAAGGUCUCACGAUUUGAAACGCUCUGAUGCUUCGGGGUUUAUGGGGUCGUUAUGGGACCUGCAUGUUAGGUUGUUUGUUGCUUAGUUUUAUUUCUCAUUUUCUCUUUAUUUUCUUACAUGUUUUAAUUAUGAUUGUUUAUUAAAAUUUGCAAACAUUUUUUUAUUUUUUAGCUUCAUUAAUAUUUAUUACAUUCAUGAGCAUUUUGAAGUUCACGGGUGUUUUUAAAGUUCGUGGACAUUUUUAAAAUUUGAAACUUGUUUAAUUUGUAAAUAUUUUUUGAUCCAUGAAUAUAUUUUAAACUCAUAAACAUUUUCUACAAUUCAUGGUCUUGUAAGUUCACAUAUUUUUUAAAAUCCUUAAACAUAUUUAAUUUAAACUAACCUAUUUAUUUUAAAAAAUAGUGCAUUUUUUGAGCGUGCAGUGAGGUGAGCGGAAAAAAGCUAACCGACUAAGAGGAAUAGGGAGUCAAACUAAGGGAGCGACAGAUAGCUCGUGGGCCGAUCCAUGUGUGUUAUAGUAGCAAUUCCAUGAUUUUAACAUGGAUAGGACCUCUCAAAAGGCUCAAACGACCACCACCAUUGGCACUGAGACCGACAUGUGUACAAACACCACAACAACUUUCCAAAAAACUUCAUUCUUCUCUAAGAAUAUGCGUAUACUAGAUCGAGAUCGUGCCUUGGCACGAGGGUGCCGGUCCCAACGACGUGGCCAAGUGGGUAAAGAUCGGAUGCUAUGAUGCAUUACUAAAAAAGGAUAGCAAGUGCAGCUUGCCGCACCCCACCUGAUCCAAUUGUAUCCAGCCGAAUAAUACUCAUAUUGAAUAUAUACACAUAUGCUCACCCGAUAAUACCUAAUAUAUAUGUUUGAAGUACACCAAAAUCAAAAUCAUCAGUUAAACACAAUUAAGAACAUAAUAGAUAGCAACCAUAACCACAAGCAUUGUAUAUACACUUAUACAUUCCUUAAUAACAUGUUUCAGGGUAGGCAUGUACCUCGGGCAAGAUUUAGUACAACUAUCAAUCCACUGACAGGAAAUAAUGUUCAUCUAAGGUUGUCUGAAUUUCAGUUUCACAUGAAUAUAUAUUUACUAAAAGACUUCCACUAUUUGCACCAGAAUGCGUCAUAAAUGGUCCUCGGAAGAUUCUUUAUGUCUGAGACCUACAGGGGAGGAUGAAGGGGGUCAGGCAAUCAAAGAGUGAGUAGCAUAGAUAUUACGUAGCCGCUUCAACAUAAAAAAUAUGAAAGAUACAUGACAAUUUUUAUAGCUCCUUUUAGUUUAAAACUAUGAGAAACAACACGAAUGGAAAAAAGAUGAGGCAGCAUUUCAGAACUACUCGUUGUUUGGCACAUCGAUUUCAGUUGUAUAUACCAGAGUCCAAUACAUUUACAAAAUGAGGAGAAAUGAAAGAAACGGUGAGUACCGACAAAUAUGGCCAAUGUCUAAAGAUACUAAUCACAAUCACAAUUCCCUCUGGAGGAUAACUGAUUAUCACAAACUUGCGGGGAAGAAGGUCGCAACUCACCUACGGCAUAGAGCUGGCAUAAAAAGAAGCAGGAGCUCAUCAUUUCCCAUACUUGAACAUGCAACCACCAUCCAAUUAACAUUCCAUUACUCCUGAAAAAUUGUAAAGCAAACAAAAAUUAAUGCUUUGCGACUGACCAACAAGAAUUAGAAAACAACUUCAUAUAUCCGAAGGUGCUCUGAACCCAAAUCUUUUAUUCAUACACAUGGAGAAACUCUCGUGAAUAGAGUAAGCUUGCGUCAGAUAAAAAGAUAAUAUAAGAAAGAACACCAGAUAAGAGCUAACAAAAUUAAGUUUAGAAUAUAUGCUAGCAAAUCAAUAACUGUACAAAAAUAUCAUGGGCCAAAUCAAAUUCAUAUAGGCCACUAACUAAACUGACAGGAACCAAACAUGCAUGGACUGAACUCUUCAGCAAAAUAAUAUGUCUAUUCAAAACUAUAUGUUUCCAGAUUGUUUAGGAUUAUUUUAACUGCUAGCAAAACACUAUGUUAAAUAAUAAGAAAAAGGAGAAGCCAUAUCAAUGGAUAGAUAUAUGUCUAAGAAGAAAAGAAAACUUCCAGUUCAUAUGGAUCAGGUAUGAGCCAUAAAUCGUGGAUCUCAUAUACAUGUAAAUAAAUCAAUAUGUACAAAGAAAAUUCCCUUUGCGCCAGGUAACAUGAUCCCUUCAGUUCUCAAGUAAAAGAAAGCUUCUCUGUUUAUGAAUAGAAAACUAUCCAAUGGGGGCUACUGCUACCAAAGGCAUGCCAAUCAAUACGCGAGGAUCUGUGGGCAAGAGCUGCGGUGUGUUGAACGGCAUGGGCACAAGGAUCUGUGCCAACGACCUCGUGACGCCGAGCAGCACGUGGAUGCAGACCGCACCCCCACCUCAUCACAUUUUAGCAUCAACCAGAGUUGGUCUUGGGGAUUUAUGUGUAGGAACCGAUGCAUGAGCAGGACAGAGCAUCAACCAGACGAGCACCGCAUCAACACAGCCACGACCAUGUCCCAUACAGUAGCCGAAGCAGAGGAGCAUGAGGAAGAUGGAGCUCACCGAGGGAGGUUGUAGCCGAGGCAGUACUCACCAAGGAAGGUUGUAGCCUUGCCCAACUUACUGGUGAGUGCAAAUGGCUUCCUCUUCUGCCCCCUCUGGAACCUACAACAACACCAAAGCAUAACACUUCUUUUCAGACAAACGCCUACGUCUAGUUCAAAAGAUAGCAUAGAAGAACCAUAUAAAUUAGGGAUUGGCUCAUAGCAGAACCAAUCUGCUAUGCCAUAAAAUAACCAUAUAAAUCAGUUAUACAUAUAAAUUAGGUGGAAUUUGAGUAAGAACAGCAGCCCUCUGUUCAAAGAUAGGAUGAUACACCAAAAGCAAAUUAUACCGGUAGUCGAGGAUAGAACUGCAUGGUAGUAGGACAAAAUUAUGAUGGGCCAGAUCUGCCAACUACCAAAAAAAUAUGUAUAGACAAUCCAGAUCCCAAACAAUUGAGGUGGUCUUCAAAUCAGUAUGUCUUUUCUGCCUGGAGAAAAGAAGAAGGAAUAAUAUUACUGCAAUAAGCUGAAAGAUCAGAAGACUAUAGCCUACUUGCGGACUUUGGUCGUCAGCAAUUCAAAAGCACAUCUUAUAUUCAAUUUCUUUCCGGGCUUAUAACCUGAACUAUUUUACUUAAACAUAUGGCCAGAUUCAGUGCAAGAUAUAUGUGCAGUCCCGUCAGAUUUUUCAUUCGGUUCAGAGUGAAAAGGAAUUGUAUAGAGAGAGAAAAGAAGCUGAAGAGAGUUUUUCAAUCGUAGCCAUCCUAUGGAAAAGGAAAAUGAACUCAUACUCAAAAAAGAAGCAGUAGCCUAAGCAGAUUUCUUCACCUUAACAAACUGUAAGCAAGAAGUUUCAGAUUGUGAGAAAUGCAUUGGAGAUAAAUGCACACACUUUAUGAACCCAGACUGUACUGUGGGUGUUGAUCCUAUUCUACGAAAAUAAAUUAGAAAAGGAAGGGAUGAUGAUCUGCUAUACCUAGGGACGUUAAGGUCCAUGCUUCAUUCUUGCCGAGGACAUCCACAACAAAGAAAUGACUCACACAAUACAACAUUUGACAAUACAAUGGAUAUGUUUCAAUAGCUUUCAGCACACAAACCGAGGUGAAAACUAAUUCACAUGGAUACUAAAGAAUAAGAAUUAUGUAGCUCUUUGCUCCUUCAUACUCAACUGAAAAUAAAUCAAUGCAGAUUAACAUAUUUUAGCUUAAAUGCAGAAGAACAUUCAAAUACGACACUAAGCUUCCAAGAUAUUAUACACCCUUGAUAACUAAAAUUUCAUUAGUAAUAGUAGGAGACUGAAAACUAAAGAGGGAAUAUGUUACAUGAGGCCGAAUAACAUUGGUUUGGACGCGGCGAGGCUUGCCACUGCUGACCACUAUGACACGUAUUCACACAACGCACGGCCUUUGCGGCCUACAAAAAUAAAAGCAUUACCAGAUCACGAACAUAUGUUAACUAUUGAGCCCAUGGCAAAGCCACCAAGGGCAUUCACUAAAAAUAGGCAGGUACUUCAUUUUAUUUGCAUAGCCUAGAACUAUAGAUUACAUUUAGACUGGAGUCCUUACCUGAUAAUUGACAUUAGAAAGAGGCAAACAUUAGAAAACUCAACUUAAUCAAUUUCAACAGUAACUUAAACUUCCGUCAUGGACAACCGACAGUAAGGAUCAACUAAACAGAUAAACCAGUUAUCUUAUACAAAAAAAGAUAUCUGACACCAAAUAUUCCAAUGGUUCAUUCAGUUCUUGGAUCAUCUGAGUAAACAUAUCUGACACCAAAUAUUAUUAUAUCUAUACCCGCCAUUCUAUCCUUCUAUGAGAAUUUUCUUCGUCGGUAAUCUCGCAUGAUUAUCUCAGUAAAAUUUUGUGGCCACUACUACUCUACCUGGAACAGCUGGUGCGAUAUAUGUAGAUGUACGUAGAGAGAGAGAGAGAGAGAGAGAGAGAGAUCAAUAGUUUCAGGAUAAAAUAAAGUGCUGAAUACUAAUUAUUUCCUAAAAUUACAUCUCAUUCCCAAGAAUAUCCUAUUUAAAAUUUAGAGGAAGUAACAUGCCAAAGCAAGCAAGUCUAAUAAAUAUGGGAGGUCUCUCCACCAGAAUUUUGUUACCAUAUCAGGAAGUUCAUGUCUAGAGCUGUGGAAGUAUGAAAGUCCAGAGAUAUAAUGUUGCGCGGAACCAGCAUGGGCAAGCUUACAUGGACUUCUCAGCGUUUCUAACGUUCAGAGAUGAGACAUCCAGAUCCGGAUUGAGCAUCGGCAUUAUCUCGGCCUGCACAAAAUCAAUUAAAAUGUAUGAGGAAGAUAAAGUACCACCGAGUUUAAGCAAGCUAAGAACCAAAUAAUGUAUUUCUUGCAAAGAACAUAGGGGUAUAAUAUUAGAAUAGCAGGAUGAAAUUUCAUCUAAAGCAAUAACUUAAACUACGUAAAAGAGUAAAUAAUUUCCACUUGUGUUUUUAUUUCCAUCCAUGAGUCCUUGACAUCAAAUUAUCAUCUCUCUUCCUUUGUGUGAGAGUGCGCCUACAUAUCUACCUCAGAUUCCUACAUGAGCUUUCUUAGGUACAUAACUGAACAAAGAUAAUGCUUCCACUGUUAGUGCUGUAUGUAAAUCCUGACUGGAUCGUGGCAUUUAUACCAUGAUUCAGACAUCAGUUAAUCACAAGGGAUAGAACAAAAUCCAUUGUCGCUGCAGCAGCCAAUACAAUCAAUUUAUAAUAUAGAAAGGAUGGAGCAAGCAAAGAAAGGCCACCAAAAUACCACCCGGAAAAAUUCCUUACUUACAGCAGCUCGGUGGUGACGUGUUGUCGAACAACCCCGCCUCGGCCAUCCUCCGAGUGAUAGGUAAUGAGCCACCAGCUCGUUGGGGAACCGUCGCUCACGCCGGCAUAGGGGCUUCCCCAUUUCCCUCUCCCCCCUGCUGCUGCCUCUUAGUUCUCAGCAAGCCCGAGUUGCCGUCAGGCCAAUCACACCUGAACAACAGUAACUGAAAAUGUCACCAAUGAAUCUGAGACGCAGCAAAAAUCACCUAAAGCAUGCCUUAAAUUACCUUUAUUUUCGGAUCCAGCAGCUCUGCAGGAUUGCACCUCUGCCCCUUAGGAUCCAGCCCCCCUGCAAAUGAACAAACUUACGUAUUUAAUCAAUUAUCGAGCAGAGUGGAUGAACACACACGGAGGAAAUGGGGCAAGUGAAGAGGAUGCUCACGUGAUGGAUGGGACGCGGUUCACCUCGGGUCGGCGUGAGGUCGGCUCUCAAGAGCUCGCCCACCAAACCCUAGGUCAGGGCCGGAGGUGGUCGGCGUGACGGCGCAUGAGCCGGGGAGUCGGGGGCGUGUCUGCGCACAACAGCGUGUCCGAGGGAUAAUCGAUGGCGCCUCGCGCGGGUGGAUCGGCGGCGGCUCACCAUGGGUGGUCUUCCGGGCGGCGAGGUCGUGUGACGGGAGGGGAGGAGGCAGAGGGGCAGCGCCGAGAGGGGACGGGUGGUGGUAGCGCCAAAGCGGCGGCGCUUCCCGACGUCGGCCACAGCGGCUGGUCGGUGGCGGCGGCGGACGAGGGGAGGCGGGGAAGAGGGUUUGUAUGGAAGGGAAGGAGGCGGCGGCUCUCCCUCGCGUGUACAGGACGAGAGGAGGAAGCCGAUUGGGAAGAAACCCUAUUUUUUUUUUAGAAAAAGAGGAUGACCCCCGGCCUCUGCAUCUGUAUCUGGAAGAUGCAUACGGCCACUUUAUUGAUUAUUCUCGAGGACCUUACAAAGUAUUACACCAAUGUGCCUGAAUCCACCAUCUUGACAACAUAUGCCACUACUCCUAUCCAAUAUGAUGAAGGGGUGGUAGCCGAGCCACUAUCCAAACCACUCACGUAAGCCUAACAUCAAAAGCCGGAAACCGAAACACAUUCGGAAGCCCCAGCCGAGCCACAUAUCGGGUCUGGGGCAUAAUCCGGUCAGACGCACUCGUGUGUCGUCACCGCUAUCUUCCACAUGUCCGUCUUCAGACCAAAUUGAGGCUUCUACCUUGUCUGGCCACUCCGCCAUUGACGCCACCAUGACGCCAAACAGCAACCUCCUCCUGCGCGAGUCCAUCUCCGUGCAUCGGACGUCGAGCCUCCACAGCGCGAUGCCGCCGACAUCUGCCGCCAUUAAUGUGUGAGAUGGAGCACUGCUCCACCAUCCUCCCAGCCAACACUUACUCCAAAACGACGCCCCCAGGAGAACCAGAACGCGUUGGAGGAAAAGCGGAGGCUUGGGCGAAGAAGGGCACGCCAUCGGCAGCUGUCACCGACCACAAACAGCGCCCGCCACCACCCAGCCCUUAAGGCGGCGCCUUCAAGAAGGUCGCGGCGCCAAAGACGCCGCCGCCGCCCAUCGAAGUUAGGUUUUCACCCGAGAAGCUAGGUGGUGAGGAGUGGAAGGGCAGACCUUGACAGACGUCUCCAUGAAAAAAUCGGCGCCCGCGGGUGUCGUCAUCGUCACGGCCGGCCGGAGCCGACCCGGGUUUCCCCUUAUCUGGAUCUCGACCACCAGAAUCGCCCGCAUCCCAUAGGCAGACCAUACAGCACACCCAAGGACCCUCGCAGGAGAAGUGCACCGAGCAAGGAAGAAGGCCAGCAGCCAGAUCUGGCGCCACCAGCCGCCAAGGCAGCCACGCGAGGCCCCAGGCCACCCGACCAGAUCGCCGGCACCACGCCAACCCCACUGCCCGCCGCAGGAGAUAGGGAGCCUCGCCAGGGGCCGCCGCCCGGAUCCGAGACCCUCCGAUGCAGACCGGAGCGAAGCCGGCCCUGCCGCCACAGUCCCAGACCGCGCCCCAGGCAUGGCCCGGCGCCAGCCUCGUGCGGCGGCGAGGAGAGAUGGAGAGAGAGGGAGGUUACGCCAGUGGGAGGGGAAUCAACCCUCGAGACGCCCGCUAGGGGCGGCGCGGGGGAGGGGGAGGGGUAACUCGUACAUAGUCAUAUCUUAACCCUAUGGGUGGUGCAUUUUUAUACAGAGUAGUGAAAUUACGAAAAUGCCGUGGCACGAGAUCUUUACGGCGAGGUAACUGUUCAUUGCUACAGGAGCUCCUCCUUGAUCCGACGGACGAGGUCGUCCGAAGGCUUGAUCCGACGGUCCAGAUCCGAUCAAGCCACCAGAUCGGACGGCCAGGGAUCGCGAGCGGUGAGGAGCCGGGAGGUUCACUGGAUCUCUUAUUUCUCGAUGUAAGAAUGUCAAAUUCUGAAAAAAAAAUAUGCAUGUAUGUAAGAAUGUAACCUAUAUAUAUGUAAAAUUCUGAAAAACCCGACACGAUAUACAAAUGAAAAAACACCUUCAUAAUGUAAUUAAAACAUAAGACAACAUUGAUAAAAUCUAAACAAGCGACCGUGACACUCUACUAGGCACGAGUGAGGCACUCUACUAGAUAUAAAAGAAUAAAUUCCACGAAUAAAUAAAUUCCACGAAUGAAGAAUGGCGGGGCGAAGUGGCCUCUAGUAUAAAAGAUAAUAAACAAGAAAUUAUUUGCUCCGCUUAAUAGACAAGUGGGCUAGAUUUGUUUAGUCAAUCAACGACGGCAACAUAGCGAUGAUAAUUCGAGACACUUGCAUGAAGGCUUCCCUCGACAAGUUUAGGCCAGCGUCGCGUCAGUGUCUCGUUCUAGCGACAGCAACAGUGCGUUUGAUUCGAUGGUCUAUUUAUUAUUAUUAUUUUAGAGGAGAAUGGCGUUUUGGUGGCCGAGCUUCAUGGAGGUCUUUAAUUUAAAAAAAAUUCAAAUUGAAACUAUAUAUUCCAAAAAAUUCUGAAAAAUAUGCGUGUAUGUAAGAAUGAAACCCACAUGUGUGUAAAUUUUCAUAAUGAAAUACAUUGAAAUGUGACCUGUAAAAAAAUAAAAAUAAAUUCAUGGCCUGAGAGGAUGAAUAUUAUCAUGUGUUAAACAACCCUAGAUUUGUCUGUUUUACACAGCCCUCAUUUCAACAUGUUUUGCCCUGAAAUUGUACACACAUGUGUGUUAUGCCUUCAUGUAUAUCUGCCUUCAUGUAUAUCUGUAGUUUUUUUUCAAUUUUGUUUGAAAUGUAAAAAUAUGAAUUUUGAUGAAAUUUGAAAUUUGAAUCUGAAGGCCUCCAGCGAGCUCGGUCACCAAAUGCAAUUUCCGUAUUUUAGAGGUGCUUUGUAAUCCUUUUGGAAAGAAAAAAGAGACAAGCCAACUAACUGACUGAAUCCAACACAACACAAGUUCACAACAAGGAGAAGCCACAUGCAUCACCAGUACACAUUAACCGCAAACCGAUCUUCACCUAAACAGCAUGCAUGGAUGCAUGCAUGAAGAUGAAGAGGCAACACCGAUGGAGUCGGAGUACUUUAUUUCUGGCCAUCCUAAGCUCAGCAGUCCCGCUCGCAGUAGCACUUGCGCUCGACGUGGUGCUGGUUGCACUGCCCGCGG